rnacentral:rRNA from 1 species
CGAGGGGAGUGAAAAAGAACCUGAAACCGUGUACGUACAAGCAGUGGGAGCACGCUUAGGCGUGUGACUGCGUACCUUUUGUAUAAUGGGUCAGCGACUUAUAUUCUGUAGCAAGGUUAACCGAAUAGGGGAGCCGAAGGGAAACCGAGUCUUAACUGGGCGUUAAGUUGCAGGGUAUAGACCCGAAACCCGGUGAUCUAGCCAUGGGCAGGUUGAAGGUUGGGUAACACUAACUGGAGGACCGAACCGACUAAUGUUGAAAAAUUAGCGGAUGACUUGUGGCUGGGGGUGAAAGGCCAAUCAAACCGGGAGAUAGCUGGUUCUCCCCGAAAGCUAUUUAGGUAGCGCCUCGUGAAUUCAUCUCCGGGGGUAGAGCACUGUUUCGGCAAGGGGGUCAUCCCGACUUACCAACCCGAUGCAAACUGCGAAUACCGGAGAAUGUUAUCACGGGAGACACACGGCGGGUGCUAACGUCCGUCGUGAAGAGGGAAACAACCCAGACCGCCAGCUAAGGUCCCAAAGUCAUGGUUAAGUGGGAAACGAUGUGGGAAGGCCCAGACAGCCAGGAUGUUGGCUUAGAAGCAGCCAUCAUUUAAAGAAAGCGUAAUAGCUCACUGGUCGAGUCGGCCUGCGCGGAAGAUGUAACGGGGCUAAACCAUGCACCGAAGCUGCGGCAGCGACGCUGAUGCGUUGUUGGGUAGGGGAGCGUUCUGUAAGCCUGCGAAGGUGUGCUGUGAGGCAUGCUGGAGGUAUCAGAAGUGCGAAUGCUGACAUAAGUAACGAUAAAGCGGGUGAAAAGCCCGCUCGCCGGAAGACCAAGGGUUCCUGUCCAACGUUAAUCGGGGCAGGGUGAGUCGACCCCUAAGGCGAGGCCGAAAGGCGUAGUCGAUGGGAAACAGGUUAAUAUUCCUGUACUUGGUGUUACUGCGAAGGGGGGACGGAGAAGGCUAUGUUGGCCGGGCGACGGUUGUCCCGGUUUAAGCGUGUAGGCUGGU